CCGCAGCUAAGCCCCGGGUCACUGAACUCAGGCCCUCUGUGCACCCUGUUCCACCCGACUUCUGGCAGCUCUCCAUUGCCCCCUCAGGGACCUGCAGCAAGCCGGCGGGCGGGCUGCAGCAAGGCAGUUGAGUCCUGGAUUCCCACCACAGGGGAGCUGUUGGUAGAUUCCCCCUGGGAGAGACCCCAGGGUUACAGCCAUGGGCCCCGGAGGGAGCCGGGCACAGGGAGCGCAGACCAGAGCCACGCAGGCCAAAGGGGCCACGCAGGCUGGGGCGCACGGGACACCGCUGGUUCUCCUCUCGAAGCCCCAGGGACUUCUGACCCUGAGGGCGGAUGAGGCCAGGGCCAGACCGGGGGGACCGCAGGCGGCACUGGCCGCUGCUGCUGCUGCUGCUGCUCCUGGGCCUGGGUCCCCUCGGCCUGCGGCCCCCGACUGCAACUCCGCGGAGCAGUGCCCCGGGCCCCCGAGCCCCGGCAGGGGGCAGUCGGUCCCGCUUGAGCAGUCUGUGGGGCAGGUUCCCACUCUGGCCUGGCCCCCGGGGGGCAGGCCCCAGGUGCUGGUCCCACCAGUUUUGGUCUGAGCCUCAGCCAUGGUGGUAUGUCUUCGGCAGCGGGACACAGCUUACUGUCCUAGGUCACCUCAAGGCUUCACCCUCAAUCACUCUGUUCCCACCAUCCUCUGAGGAGAUCCAAGCCAACAAGGCCACACUGGUGUGUCUCAUAAAUGACUUCUACCCGGGCACCGUGGUUGUGGCCUGGAAGGAAGACGGCAAAACCAUCACCCAGGGAGUGCAGACCACCAAGCCCUCCAAACAGAGCAACAACAAGUAUGCUGCCAGCAGCUACUUGACCCUGACGCCUGCCCAGUGGAAGUCUCAUAACAGCUACAGCUGCCAGGUCACGCAUGAGGGGAGCACCGUGGAGAAGAAGGUGGCCCCUGCGGAGUGUGCUUAGGGCCCUGAGCAUCCCUACUCAGGAGGACCCAGAGGAGCUGGACCCUGGGUACUGGGUCCCCCAUCCAGACAUCCAUUCUCCAACUUUCUACUGUGUUCCUGAUCCCCUCCUAUCAUCAGCUCAGACCUGGGUGGACCCCACACCCUCCCGAUUUCCACUUCUUCUCAAUAAAGAUCUGACGUUUAUCA